GACGAACGCUGGCGGCGUGCCUAAUACAUGCAAGUCGAACGAACCGCGACUAAGUGCUUGCACUAAGUCAAGGUGAGUGGCGAACGGGUGAGUAACACGUGGGUAACCUACCUCAUAGUGGGGGAUAACAGUCGGAAACGACUGCUAAUACCGCAUAGGACAUAGGAUCACAUGAUCCAGUGAGGAAAGGUGGCGCAAGCUAUCGCUAAGAGAUGGACCCGCGGUGCAUUAGCUAGUUGGUAGGGUAAAGGCCUACCAAGGCGAUGAUGCAUAGCCGACCUGAGAGGGUGAUCGGCCACAUUGGGACUGAGACACGGCCCAAACUCCUACGGGAGGCAGCAGUAGGGAAUCUUCCGCAAUGGACGCAAGUCUGACGGAGCAACGCCGCGUGAGUGAAGAAGGUCUUCGGAUCGUAAAGCUCUGUUGUUAGAGAAGAACAGAGCGUAGAGUAACUGCUAUGCGUGUGACGGUAUCUAACCAGAAAGCCACGGCUAACUACGUG
rnacentral:rRNA from 1 species